rnacentral:rRNA from 1 species
UACGGGGGGAGCAAGUGUUGUUCGGAUUUACUGGGCGUAAAGAGCUCGUAGGCGGUCUGUUACGUCCGCUGUGAAAACCCAGGGCUUAACCCUGGGCUUGCAGUGGAUACGGGUAGACUAGAGGCAGGUAGGGGAGAAUGGAAUUCCCGGUGUAGCGGUGAAAUGCGCAGAUAUCGGGAGGAACACCGGUGGCGAAGGCGGUUCUCUGGGCCUGACCUGACGCUGAGGAGCGAAAGCGUGGGGAGCGAACAGG